CGCGGUACGAAAAUUCCUAAUAAAAUGGCGGCGAAAUAUAAAUAUGGAAACAAGGCGCGCAAAUUGUGUUGAAAACUCUGAACGAAAUAUGUUAUCGUAAUCGAAAAAAAUGUAAAAAUACUCUAAUGUAUUAUAGUGUACGCAUUAGGGUGGACCGAAUGCUAUAGAAAAUACGAAAAAACUACUUAAAUCCGGAAAUUAAUCUCCGGAACGUAAUAUUCCAGAAAAAUAUCAACGGUUUCUUAAUUAAUUCUAUGCGUAUAAAAUGAGGUACGAUUGAAAACUCGCGAACUGACCAAAUAAUCGAGGAGGGUGUGGGUUUUCUAUUUAUGCGGAAAAUGGGUCGUGAAAUUCGGUGAGAGAAAAAGUGUUUAAAAUAAGAAACGACGUUCUGGAUCCGAAAUUUUUAGAAACCAUUGGUUUUAUCAUAAUUCCGGAAUUCUACAAUAUAUUUCUGGAAUUCGAUUAUUAUCGCCCGGAAAGUUGCUGACCCGAAUAUUACGUUCUGGAUUUUAAAAUUCCGGGUGUUCAUCAACCCGGAUGAUUACAUUCCGGAAAAUUAUGGUCUCCAGAAAAAAAACAAAUGUUUCAAACGCGAGCGGCCAAUUAAGGUGGACAACAAGAUUUUCACGUAAUGUGCGUAAGGUCAGUCAAAUUCGACGGUAUUGUUGUUACGCCUGCACGAAUAGCUGCGCGUACAGGUCGGAUCGGUCGAAAUCGACGUUGAAGUGCUCCUAGGGAGCCGUCGUAAACGAAAACGCCGACAGCGCGCACGGGAAUAAUUACGUUCAGACCACAAAAAAAUCAUUGACCAACGGUAAUUAUCAACCGAUUACGAGUACACAACUGUUUAUGUAUCU